CAUUGGCUGAGAGUUCUGAUCUGGCCGCGGCAUUGGAGGCCGUGCUGGACGAACGCGCGCUGGACAGUAUCGGGGACGUGUUCCAGCAUUCGCCGCACCAGCCCAAGCCUAAGAUGCAAGUGCCAGCAUCCGUGGCGAUGGAGAUGUCGACAAGCGCUCCCUCAUAACACACUAACCUAAUGUUAAGCUAAAAUAUACUAUGUACUACAAUAGGAACAAAUUCAUAGUCUCAAAGAGUUGAAAUUAAUUUCUUCAUGCUUUAAGUUUUGUAUGUGAAAUGAAUGUGGAGUGCCGUGUACGUGAUAUUAGUUGGGUUUAGGGUUAGCCGUGUUUGGUAAAUUUCACUAUAAAUAAAGGUUUUUUGGAGCAGUUUUUGAACGGCUACGCAACUUACGCUGAAAA